AUUGAAGUUCAGCUUCCCAACUACCAAUUGUUCUGUUAUGACCCAGCCAUCAGCAUAUUCUAAACCACAGUCGAUUAGUUAGUGGGCAUUCAAAAAACAAAUGAGCAAAUUCUUCUACAUGUUGAUUACAGAAUACACAAUUCACAGACACGUGCACUCCAAUCUUCUAUAAUCUGUCAACAGUAGGCAGUCCACGUUGAGCAGCAAGCCAAGCAGUGAAU
rnacentral:lncRNA from 1 species